GACGAACGCUGGCGGCGUGCUUAACACAUGCAAGUCGAACGCUGAAGACCUGGCUUUUGUUGGGUUGGAUGAGUGGCGAACGGGUGAGUAACACGUGAGUAACCUGCCCUCUUCUUUGGGAUAACGCCCGGAAACGGGUGCUAAUACUGGAUAUUCACUGAUCUUCGCAUGGGGGUUGGUGGAAAGGUUUGUUCUGGUGGGGGAUGGGCUCGCGGCCUAUCAGCUUGUUGGUGGGGUGAUGGCCUACCAAGGCUUUGACGGGUAGCCGGCCUGAGAGGGUGACCGGUCACAUUGGGACUGGGAUACGGCCCAGACUCCUACGGGAGGCAGCAGUGGGGAAUAUUGCGCAAUGGGCGAAAGCCUGAUGCAGCGACGCCGCGUGAGGGAUGGAGGCCUUCGGGUUGUAAACCUCUUUCGCUCAUGGUCAAGCCGCAACUGUGGGUUGUGGUGAGGGUAGUGGGUAAAGAAGCGCCGGCUAACUACGUG
rnacentral:rRNA from 1 species